rnacentral:lncRNA from 1 species
UUGAUGUGAGGAGAUAAGAGAGAAGGAAACAAGCAGUUUAUGUAGUACCUAUGAGGAACAUAGGGAUGGUGAUUGAGGAACAUGUGAUAUGUUAUUAUAGCUCAUGCUUCAAUACCAAGAAAAAAGUAACUAUAGUCAAGCAGCAAAGUAAAUCUGGCACAUAGCCAACUUUCCAUGAAGUCUGGCCCUGGAAACCUAUGUGUCCACCUGAAGACAAUACUAUUCUGAUAUUUCUGAAGAGUAGAAGAAAGAUAAGAAAAAUAAAGUUGAACAAAGCAACAUCAAUAAUUCCUCCACAUUUUAAAAUACAAGAAAAGGAAGUAUGAAAAUAUUUUUCAAGUGAGAAAACUGA